AGAGUUUGAUCAUGGCUCAGAUUGAACGCUGGCGGCAGGCCUAACACAUGCAAGUCGAACGGUAACAUUUCUAGCUUGCUAGAAGAUGACGAGUGGCGGACGGGUGAGUAAUACUUAGGAAUAUGCCUUUGUGUGGGGGAUAACCAUUGGAAACGAUGGCUAAUACCGCAUAACGUCUUCGGACCAAAGGGGGCUUCGGCUCCCGCGCAAAGAGUAGCCUAAGCGAGAUUAGCUUGUUGGUGAGGUAAAGGCUCACCAAGGCGACGAUCUCUAGCUGUUCUGAGAGGAAGAUCAGCCACACUGGAACUGAGACACGGUCCAGACUCCUACGGGAGGCAGCAGUGGGGAAUAUUGCACAAUGGGGGAAACCCUGAUGCAGCCAUGCCGCGUGUGUGAAGAAGGCCUUCGGGUUGUAAAGCACUUUCAGUUGUGAGGAAAGGUUAACGGUUAAUACCCGUUAGCUGUGACGUUAGCAACAGAAGAAGGACCGGCUAACUCCGUGCCAGCAGCCGCGGUAAUACGGAGGGUCCGAGCGUUAAUCGGAAUUACUGGGCGUAAAGCGCACGCAGGCGGUUUGUUAAGCUAGAUGUGAAAGCCCUGGGCUCAACCUGGGAAUUGCAUUUAGAACUGGCAGGCUAGAGUUUUGGAGAGGGGAGUGGAAUUCCAGGUGUAGCGGUGAAAUGCGUAGAUAUCUGGAGGAACAUCAGUGGCGAAGGCGACUCCCUGGUCAGUAACUGACGCUCAUGUGCGAAAGUGUGGGUAGCGAACAGGAUUAGAUACCCUGGUAGUCCACACCGUAAACGCUGUCUACUAGCUGUUUGUGGAUUUAAUCCGUGAGUAGCGAAGCUAACGCGAUAAGUAGACCGCCUGGGGAGUACGGCCGCAAGGUUAAAACUCAAAU
rnacentral:rRNA from 1 species